rnacentral:rRNA from 1 species
ACGGGUGAGUAAUGCAUCGGGACCUACCUAGACGUGGGGGAUAACGUAGGGAAACUUACGCUAAUACCGCAUACGUCCUACGGGAGAAAGCAGGGGACCUUCGGGCCUUGCGCGGUUAGACGGACCGAUGUUCGAUUAGCUUGUUGGUGAGGUAAUGGCUCACCAAGGCGACGAUCGAUAGCUGGUCUGAGAGGAUGAUCAGCCACACUGGAACUGAGACACGGUCCAGACUCCUACGGGAGGCAGCAGUGGGGAAUAUUGGACAAUGGGCGCAAGCCUGAUCCAGCAAUGCCGCGUGUGUGAAGAAGGCCUUCGGGUUGUAAAGCACUUUUAUCAGGAGCGAAAUACUACCGGCUAAUACCCGGUGGGGCUGACGGUACCUGAGGAAUAAGCACCGGCUAACUUCGUGCCAGCAGCCGCGGUAAUACGAAGGGUGCAAGCGUUAAUCGGAAUUACUGGGCGUAAAGCGUGCGUAGGCGGUUUGUUAAGUCUGCUGUGAAAUCCCCGGGCUCAACCUGGGAAUGGCAGUGGAUACUGGCAGGCUAGAGUGUGUCAGAGGAUGGUGGAAUUCCCGGUGUA